rnacentral:lncRNA from 1 species
GAACAAUUGUGAAGAGGAAGUGGAAGAUACCACACCACACCACAAUACCAUAAAACUGAUGAAAACCAAUCGUGCGAGGUACCACACCACUGGUGAGGACCAAUUGUGCAAGAUACCACACCACUGAUGGGGAUCAAUAGUACAAGAUACCACACCACUGAUUGGGAUCAAUGGUACAAGAUACUACACCACUGAUGGGGAUCAAUGGUACAAGAUACCACACCACUGAUUGGGAUCAAUGGUACAAGAUACCACACCACUGAUGGGGAUCAAUGGUACAAGAUACUACACCACUGAUGGGGAUCAAUGGUACAAGAUACCACACCACUGAUUGGGAUCAAUGGUACAAGAUACCACACCACUGAUGGGGAUCAAUGGUACAAGAUACCACACCACUGAUGGGGAUCAAUGGUACAAGAUACCACACCACUGAUAGGGAUCAAUGGUACAAGAUACCACACCACUGAUGGGGAUCAAUGGUACAAGAUACCACACCACUGAUGGGGAUCAAUGGUACAAGAUACCACACCACCUUGUGCUACAUAAUGUAAUAUGAAAAAAAGUUGAGUGAUAUUCAAGCCAUGAGUACACCACCACUAUGCACCUUGCAACAGGGAAACACAGGCACAUGUUCAUCAUGUAUUUGCGAAGAAAAGCAUUCAGUAGGAGUUUGUUAAUUGCAAAUGCAGAUAAACAAUUGGAUGUCCAGUCGGAUUUGUUGGAAGCUUGGAUAACUGAAGCUGGAAACUGGGGAAAAUGUUUAUGUAAACAUGGAGCAAAGAAAUGCAUUGUGGGAAAUCAGGACUGAUUUGCUUGAACCCUGGUAACUGAAGCUUAGCAACAUCAGACUGAGAUAAAGUGUGGAAGUAAAAUUUUAACAUACAAAUGCAGUAAUGAACUUUGAAAAACAGACUAAUUUGUUUGUAUUAUGCAGUGUACAGCAUACAUGAUUCUGUACUUCGUUAAGAUGGCUUAUAGAUGAAAAUCUCAAUUUUAGUUAAAAUGUUGGUCCAAUUCUGGUCCAAAGAGUAGAGUAAAUUAUUGGUCCUAUUCUGGACUUAGUUAAAAUGUUUGUCCAAUUCUGGACCUAGUGUAAAUUAUUGGUAAUACCUUGGACUUUACUUAGUGUAAAAUAUUAGUCCCAUUCUGGACCUACACCUGUAGUGUAAAUGGUAUACUAUUGUGAAAUUCGUAAAAAUUCUGGAAUUAGUAAGAAUUCUUUUUUAAAUAAUGUAAAUGGUUGAGUCCUAUGCUGGACUUAGUUAAAUUAAUGUAAAUGGUUGAGUCUUUAUUCUGGACUUAGCUAACAUUCUGGACUUAAUGUAAAUAGUUGAGUCCUAUGCUGGACUUAGUUAAACUUAGUGUAAAUUAUUGGUCCUAUCUUGGACUUAAUGUAAAUUUCUAGACUUUAAAAAGAAUUCUUUUUUAAAUUAAUGUAAAUGGUUGAGUCCUAUUCUGGACUUAGUGUAAAAUAUUACUCCCAUUCUGGACCUACACCUGUAGUGUAAAUGGUAUACUAUUGUGGACUUCGUACAAAUUCUGGAAUUAGUAAGAAUUCUUUUUUAAAUAAUGUAAAUGGUUGAGUCCUAUGCUGGACUUAGUUAAAUUAAUGUAAAUGGUUGAGUCCUAUUCUGGACUUAGCUAACAUUCUGGACUUAAUGUAAAUUGUUGAGUCCUAGCUGGACUUAGUUAAACUUAGUGUAAAUUAUUGGUCCUAUCUUAAACCUAAUGUAAAUUUCUAGACUUUAAAAAGAAUUCUUUUUUAAAUUAAUGUAAAUCGUUGAGUCCUAUGCUGGACGUAGUUAAACUUAGUGUAAAUUAUUGGUCCUAUCUUGGACUUAAUGUAAAUUUCUAGACUUUAAAAAGAAUUUUUUUUUUUAAAUUAAUGUAAAUGGUUGAGUCCUAUUCUGGACUUAGUGUAAAAUAUUACUCCCAUUCUGGACUUAGUUAAAAUUCUUGACUUUAGUGUAAAUGGUUGAGUCCUAUUAUGGACUUACUGUAAAUGGUUGUGUCCUAUUCUGAACUUAGUUAAAAUUCUGGACUUAAUGUAAAUGGUUGAGUCCUAUUCUGGACUUAGUGUAAAAUAUUACUCCCAUUCUGGACUUAGUUAAAAUUCUUGACUUUAGUGUAAAUGGUUGAGUCCUAUUCUGGA